GUUCGAUUCUGUUUCCUGCUUGGAAAUUUGCGGAUUUUACAUACACACAUGAAACAGAUGCUCCCCAUCAUUUCCAAGGCCACAGUCAAAAAAUCUGAAAAAACUCGUCAAAAUGGAGAAAUUCAAACUGUGUGUGCUACCUAUCGCUGACGUGUGCCAAUGCAUUAAUACAAAAUAGAGUUUCAUCGUUUUAAAGAGAACUUGGGCGACGUUUAAACAUGGAGCGUGUAUAAUUAACAUUAACAUUUAUUUACAUGAAAGAAAAUUACCGGAGAACUUUCAUCUAAUUCUUCCAUAUCUUUCUGUUAAAACUACUGAAACCAUUCGGGUACUAGUGAAGAUUGGACCCGGUGCGCG